rnacentral:rRNA from 1 species
GAUGAACGCUAGCUACAGGCUUAACACAUGCAAGUCGAGGGGCAGCACAGAGAUAGCUUGCUAUCUUGGGUGGCGACCGGCGCACGGGUGAGUAACGCGUAUCCAACCUGCCCAUUACUCUGGGAUAGCCUUGCGAAAGUAAGAUUAAUACCGGAUGUUGUUAAAAACCCGCAUGAGUUUUUAACCAAAGAUUUAUUGGUAAUGGAUGGGGAUGCGUGACAUUAGGUAGUAGGUGAGGUAACGGCUCACCUAGCCGACGAUGUCUAGGGGUUCUGAGAGGAAGGUCCCCCANACUGGAACUGAGACACGGUCCAGACUCCUACGGGAGGCAGCAGUGAGGAAUAUUGGUCAAUGGACGAGAGUCUGAACCAGCCAAGUAGCGUGCAGGAUGACGGCCCUCUGGGUUGUAAACUGCUUUUAGUUGGGAAUAAAAAGAGGGACGUGUCCCUAAUUGUAUGUACCAUCAGAAAAAGGACCGGCUAAAUUCCGUG